rnacentral:rRNA from 1 species
CGGGCGUCUACACAUGCAGUCGAGCGGUACAGGUGUAGCAUACAUGCUGACGAGCGGCGGACGGGUACAUAUUUGGGAAUCUGCCUAUUAGUGGGGGACAACCCGGGGAAACUCGGGCUAAUACCGCAUACGCACUAUUGUGGAAAGCCGGGGACCGUAAGGCCUGGCGCUGAUAGAUGAGCCCAAAUCGGAUUAGCUAGUUCGUGAGGUAACGGCUCACCAAGGCGACGAUCCGUAGCUUGUCUGAGAGGACGACCAGCCACACCGGAACUGAGACACGGUCCGGACUCCUACGGGAGGCAGCAGUGGGGAAUAUUGGACAAUGGGCGAAAGCCUGAUCCAGCGACGCCGCGUGGGUGAAGAAGGCCUGCGGGUUGUAAAGCCCUUUCGGUGGGGAAGAAAAGCCUCGUUCUAAUACAGCGGGGUCUUGACGUAACCCAUAGAAGAAGCACCGGCUAACUCUGUGCCAGCAGCCGCGGUAAUACAGAGGGUGCGAGCGUUAAUCGGAAUUACUGGGCGUAAAGCGCGCGUAGGCUGCUUUGCAAGUCGGGUGUGAAAUCCCCAGGCUCAACCUGGGAACUGCAUUCGAGACUGCAUUGCUAGAGUAUGGGAGAGGGAAGUGGAAUUUCCGGUGUAG